rnacentral:lncRNA from 1 species
CGCCGGGGAUGGGUCUGCACUCGGACAUGAGCCCGCUUGUUCCCCGCUCGCCGUGAAAAGAGUUUUGAAAUGAGUUCUGAAUAGACAGCAUUUUCUUUGUGCGAAUGGUAAAUAACCCAGAGCAGAGUUACCGAGUUGCAGCUUCUGCAUUCUGAAACUCCAUGGAACUUUUUUGUGGGGAGAAAGGCAGGAUGUUUUUUACAGAAUGUGACCUCCCCGGGACACUGGAGGUGAGGAGAAAACGCUAGUGAGAUAACGGUCACUGCUUUACAUCUGGGAAAACACGGCUUUUAACAAAGCUACAAGAGGAGAGAAGAUUCAUACCUCCCACCCCAAACCCAUGCCUCAUGGAGUUUCCCCAGAAAGCGAUAGCAUCUCUGAAUGGGGCUGUGUGGAGAAACCCUAGGAGAAACAGCAUAAAAGCAUUUUGGAAUAUAUCCCGCAAAAGAUAACUUUCUACACAUCUGGCAGAGAUUCUCCAGGUAAAGGUGUUAAAAUUGUAUCCUGCCGUUGGGGCUGGUUU